GUGCCAGUUUGAUUCCAGUUUGUAAACUACUUGAUGGUGACUAGAUACAAAGCGCUAAAGGAGGUCUUUCUAUUAGGAAGCUUGUCAAUUCCCCUCUCCUGGGGCAACAUUUGGUACAUUAAGCAAAUAUGUUGAAAUGCAUUUGUCAGUCUCAGGUGCAGACUGUAUAAACAUCCCAACUCUGCCAUAGGAAUAGGUGAUUAUGGUCUAAUGCUGGAGCAGCUCCUGCUGAGAGAAGCAAUUAGGUGAGUGAUCCAAAGAGAUUUUUGACCUUUUUUUGUUUCUUUUCAGUUUUUUUCUUGCCUGCUAAAUAGGGUUGAGCAGUCGUAUAGCAGAAUGUAAUCUUUCAAGCUGGACAACUUCAACUAAACGCGGGAUGGAUUUUGCAGUUAAAAUGCCAUCAAGAUCAUACGUAGAAGAGUAAUGAGAGCAUUACUAUCUUGUCAAGACAGCUUACUGCAGUUUUGCAGCACAAGGCCAUGAUUUUGACUGGAACACUUGAUUUCCUUUUUCUUAACAUGGAUGUGUUGUGAAAGGCAAUCGUUUUGCUUAAAUCAAGUUCCCAUAAAUACUGUAACAGGAGAGCACUCUUAGUAGAUGUUAUCUUUUGGAAGGCCUGGCAUCUGACACCCUCCUAUUUUUCUGCCUCAACAGAUCUUGCUGAGUAAUUGAGACCUGUGCUGACAGAAAACAGAUUUUUGACACAGAGAACUGGGAUAAUUUUGACACAUUACAUUUCUGCUCUUGAAGGGUCAUGGAAGUUUAAGUUGUGAGUUUGCACUGAAACUGCUAGACACAGAAGAAAAGAAACACAGGAAGUCUGCAGGACUACAGCUAAGUAACAAAAUCAAGGCUUUAAGGGAAGUACCCUCCUCCAAAACUAUGCAGAAAAGUUGAGAUUGACUGCCAGCUCAUAAUGAACUACCUAAGAACUUCCUGAUUUAAACGUUCUCUACAUGUGUUAAAUUCUGUGUAGUGUAUAAUUUCUGAUGAUUGCUGAGAUGUGUCCAGUCAAUUUAGGGGGAAAUUAAGCAUAUAAAUACAUACAAAAAUACUAUUCAGAGUGUAUUUUUAUCUCCAGAAUACUACAAACUUCAGGUAUUUAUCGUUUAACUUGGUCUGAGAAUAAAAAUGAAAUAUUAGUGCUUUUAAUUCACAUUUAGAUCUAAAACUUGGAUUUGUUGGAUUUCCUUUACUUUUAGGCAAACAUGUUUUCCACUAAUGAAUAAGCAAAAGCAGCAAUCUGACAAAAGAAGCACUAUUUAGUUUGUGCAUGAUUUUCAGAUUCCUUUCUCCUUUGCUGAUGACAUUUUAUUAGAAAAAAAAUAAUCUAGAUGAUCAUUAACCACAGUUGCUAUUUCUGAAAAAAAAAAAGAAAAAGAAAAAGCAGCAGCAGCAAUCUUUCAAGUAUUAACAUUUAUUAAACAGUCAGAGAAUUUAGAUGUUUCUUCAAUUAACCACACAACAAGGAUGUUCUUGUUUUACUGUUACACUAGUUAACUCAAAAUAUACAAGGAGAAUCUGUUUGUAUUCUUACUCAAACAAAAAGCUAGUUUUAAAGCAGGAAAACAGAAUUCAUCCUCUUUCUUAAAAAGGGUUUUUUUUUUCUUCUUUGAACAUCAACUGCUUAACUUAAAUAUAUUUUUGAGAAACACAGGUGCAUCACCAAACUGAACAUAAAGAAACAACCUCAGAAUGCUCUGAGAAAAAAUUGUCAUAGUGAUCAUAAAAAAUCUGAGAAAAAGGAUCCACAGUCAUGCCACUUUGAGAAGUUGUAGCUUCUACAGAUUGCAGAGUGAGGUUUAGCUGUCCUCUUUUGUGCAAGUGGAAACUAAGUUAUAGAUUAAACAGGCAAAUAAACCUUCUUGUUGAGUAGCCUUCACUACUGUCCCCUCAACAGAUAGGCUUACUAAUAAUUGCAUCAGCAUUUGAGAGAAUUUUUACUGCCUUGGAGAAUUACUUCUGUUCUCUGAAAUCUUCACAGAACUCUUACAACUGUGUGUUCCUGUUCGCUCAUGUUGUGUACCAGAUUUUACAUGUGAGAUAGAUCUUAAAAUUGACAUUACCAUCUGUGAUGUCACUUGUAUAGCAGUCACUGAAUUUCAUGAAACAGAAUGACUAAGAAGCAGGCAUCUAUUUUGCCAUAGUUUUUUUAUCAAAUAAAAUGUUUUUCCAUAAUUAAAGGUGGAACUGAACAGAGAAGUAUUAUGUAUAGGAGAAGGUAACACUUCCUAUUACAAACCUGUCAGCUUAAUUUGUAGGAAAUAUGACUUCAAAAUUAAAUAGUACUUGAUUGUUUUAUAUUUCAGAUGUGUCUAGCACUUCUGCUCCUCAGAAUUUCAAGUCCUUUUGUUCCUAUUGUAUUAGAUAAGCAGAAGUAUCCAUUUUUCAGUAGUGUUAUCUCAGCAAUAAAUUACAUUUUGCAUUCCUCUCAGGUUCCUCAUCUAAAGAUCUAUAUAUUUACUAUUAUUUUUCAGACCAUAGGUAAAAAGAGAUAAAUAUCAAGUCUCAACGUAGGUAGAGGCACACAGAGGCAGGUCUGUGAGGUAAGACAUGCCCCACAAAACUUCUAUUUGCCUAAUUAAUAACCGAUUAAGACAAGAUUGUGCCUUCAUCCAUGCAAACAAAAUGCACCUGUUUUGCACUAACCCUUCACUUCACACACGCUCCUCCUUCACUGUGUUUGUGAUGAUUUUUUUCAAAUUUCUUCCAGCUGUAUUUAUUCAUAACAACUGGCAACACUCUGCGUAUUCCCACUGUGACUUUUAAAUAUUUUACCCUCCAGCACUUUUCAAAUAUCUUCUACAAAUACAACAUAGUCCUGUGACUAAGUACAAAAUGGCAUACUUUAUUCCUGAUCGAAAAGUGGCUUUUCUGCUCUUUUAUACUUUUUAUACCUUUUAUACCUUUCAUACUUACUUGAAAAAAUUAGUUUCUGUGAGCCCUUGGACACAGUCUCCUGGAAACAAACAAACAAACAAAGAACUUUCAUGAAGCCUAGUAAUGUUUGCUUAUGAGGCAUGGUGGAAUCGUUGGAUGCUGUUCAGGAAAAAAUUACUUAAUGCCAAUCAGUAGAAGACUGAAGACCAUUUGUCUAUACGAACACACUCAACAAGCAGAGAUGUUACAGACUGCAUCUGAGCUUUGAUGACACCCAUUUGACAAAAGUCUGUCUACAAACCUAUGGUCUUAAACCUAUGGGGCUUCUUCACAGAGUAAACUAUGGGAAUGAAUGAUAAAAUGGGAGCAUCCUGGAAAUAGUGAAGCAUGAUUAAAGUUUUGUUGAACACAAUGGGAUGGAUUCAACAACUAUCACAUUUUUUUAAAUAAUUAACUGUGCUGAAUUUUUCAUGGAAGAGCACAACAUUCAUAUGGUAUAAUUACUACACUGUGAAAUGCAUUUGAAUUAGAACAAGAUGUCACUGGGUAGGUAGAUUCACAGUGUCAGGAAAUGUUGUCCUCCCCAGGUUCUAGGAAUUAUGUGCUUUACAUUCUCUUGCAGCACACAGUACAGGCUACUACUAAUAAUAUAUCCAUAGCUGAACAAAAAGUAUGGCAGGAUUAUUUAAAAUGUUUAAUUAUUCAAAUGAAAGAAUUAAUUGACUGUGCUUUUUUUUUUCUUUCUUUCUUUUUUUUUUCUAGUUCUAAAAUAUUUCUAAACAUUGGAAGAGCUC